rnacentral:rRNA from 1 species
CAGCCGCCGCGGGAAUACAGAGGUCUCAAGCGUUGUUCGGAUUCAUUGGGCGUAAAGGGUGCGUAGGUGGUCAUGUAAGUCUAAUGUGAAAUCUCGGGGCUUAACCCCGAAAUUGCAUCGGAUACUGCGUGACUAGAGGAUUGUAGAGGAGAUUGGAAUUCACGGUGUAGCAGUGAAAUGCGUAGAUAUCGUGAGGAAGACCAGUUGCGAAGGCGAAUCUCUGGGCAAUUCCUGACACUGAGGCACGAAGGCCAGGGGAGCAAACGGGAUUAGAUACCCGCGUAGUCCCUGUCUCUUAUAC